rnacentral:rRNA from 1 species
UUUCCCCCCGCGACUUAAGCAUAUCAAUAAGCGGAGGAAAAGAAACCAACCGGGAUUGCCUCAGUAACGGCGAGUGAAGCGGCAAGAGCUCAAAUUUGAAAGCUGGCUCCUUCGGAGUCCGCAUUGUAAUUUGCAGAGGAUGCUUUGGGUGCGGCCCCCGUCUAAGUGCCCUGGAACGGGCCGUCAGAGAGGGUGAGAAUCCCGUCUUGGGCGGGGUGUCCGUGCCCGUGUAAAGCUCCUUCGACGAGUCGAGUUGUUUGGGAAUGCAGCUCUAAAUGGGUGGUAAAUUUCAUCUAAAGCUAAAUACUGGCCGGAGACCGAUAGCGCACAAGUAGAGUGAUCGAAAGAUGAAAAGCACUUUGAAAAGAGAGUUAAACAGCACGUGAAAUUGUUGAAAGGGAAGCGCUUGCAACCAGACUCGCCCGCGGGGUUCAGCCGGCAUUCGUGCCGGUGUACUUCCCCGUGGGCGGGCCAGCGUCGGUUUGGGCGGCCGGUCAAAGGCCCCUGGAAUGUAGUGCCCUCCGGGGCACCUUAUAGCCAGGGGUGCAAUGCGGCCAGCCUAGACCGAGGAACGCGCUUCGGCUCGGACGCUGGCAUAAUGGUUGUAAACGACCCGUCUUGGCAGCGGGGGACACACA